rnacentral:rRNA from 1 species
GACGAACGCUGGCGGCGUGCUUAACACAUGCAAGUCGAACGAGGUCCAUGGUGCUUGCACCGGAAGACCUAGUGGCGAACGGGUGAGGAACACGUGAGAAACCUGCCCUGGACUCUGGGAUAACAGUUGGAAACGACUGCCAAUACCGGAUGCCGUCACCGAGUGGCAUCACUUGGUGACGAAAGAAUUUCGGUCCAGGAGGGUCUCGCGGCCUAUCAGCUAGUUGGUGGGGUAACGGCCUACCAAGGCAUCGACGGGUAGCUGGUCUGAGAGGAUGAUCAGCCACACUGGGACUGAGACACGGCCCAGACUCCUACGGGAGGCAGCAGUGGGGAAUCUUGUGCAAUGGGCGAAAGCCUGACACAGCAACGCCGCGUGCGGGAAGAAGGCCUUCGGGUCGUAAACCGCUUUCAGCAGGAACGAAAAUGACGGUACCUGCAGAAGAAGGUGCGGCCAACUACGUGCCAGCAGCCGCGGUAA